AUUGAACGCUGGCGGCAGGCUUAACACAUGCAAGUCGAGCGGUAACAGAGAGAAGCUUGCUUCUCUGCUGACGAGCGGCGGACGGGUGAGUAAUGCCUAGGAAUCUGCCUAGUAGUGGGGGAUAACUUGCCGAAAGGUAAGCUAAUACCGCAUACGUCCUACGGGAGAAAGGAGGGGACCUUCGGGCCUUUCGCUAUUAGAUGAGCCUAGGUCGGAUUAGUUAGUUGGUGAGGUAAUGGCUCACCAAGACCGCGAUCCGUAACUGGUCUGAGAGGAUGAUCAGUCACACUGGAACUGAGACACGGUCCAGACUCCUACGGGAGGCAGCAGUGGGGAAUAUUGGACAAUGGGGGGAACCCUGAUCCAGCCAUGCCGCGUGUGUGAAGAAGGUCUUAGGAUUGUAAAGCACUUUAAGUUGGGAGGAAGAGCAGUUAACUAAUAUUUGACUGUUUUGACGUUACCGACAGAAUAAGCACCGGCUAACUUCGUGCCAGCCGCCGCCGUAA
rnacentral:rRNA from 1 species